rnacentral:rRNA from 1 species
UACGAAGGGGACUAGCGUUGUUCGGAAUUACUGGGCGUAAAGGGCUCGUAGGCGGCCAACUAAGUCGGAUGUGAAAUCCCCAGGCUUAACCUGGGAACUGCAUCCGAUACUGGAUGGCUUGAAUUCGGGAGAGGGAUGCAGAAUUCCAGGUGUAGCGGUGAAAUGCGUAGAUAUCUGGAGGAAUACCGGUGGCGAAGGCGGCAUCCUGGACCGACAUUGACGCUGAGGAGCGAAAGCUAGGGGAGCAAACAGG